GAUGAACGCUGGCGGCGUGCCUAAUACAUGCAAGUCGAGCGAACGGACGAGGAGCUUGCUUCUCUGAUGUUAGCGGCGGACGGGUGAGUAACACGUGGAUAACCUACCUAUAAGACUGGGAUAACUUCGGGAAACCGGAGCUAAUACCGGAUAAUAUUUUGAACCGCAUGGUUCAAAAGUGAAAGACGGUCUUGCUGUCACUUAUAGAUGGAUCCGCGCUGCAUUAGCUAGUUGGUAAGGUAACGGCUUACCAAGGCAACGAUGCAUAGCCGCCCUGAGAGGGUGAUCGGCCACACUGGAACUGAGACACGGUCCAGACUCCUACGGGAGGCAGCAGUAGGGAAUCUUCCGCAAUGGGCGAAAGCCUGACGGAGCAACGCCGCGUGAGUGAUGAAGGUCUUCGGAUCGUAAAACUCUGUUAUUAGGGAAGAACAUAUGUGUAAGUAACUGUGCACAUCUUGACGGUACCUAAUCAGAAAGCCACGGCUAACUACGUG
rnacentral:rRNA from 1 species